CAGCAGCCGCGGUAAGACAGAGGAUGCAAGCGUUAUCCGGAAUGAUUGGGCGUAAAGUGUCUGUAGGUGGCUUUUCAAGUCCGCCGUCAAAUCCCAGGGCUUAACCCUGGACAGGUGGUGGAAACUACCAAGCUGGAGUAUGGUAGGGGCAGAGGGAAUUUCCGGUGGAGCGGUGAAAUGCAUUGAGAUCGGAAAGAACACCAACGGCGAAAGCACUCUGCUGGGCCGACAUUGACACUGAGAGACGAAAGGUAGGGGAGCAAAUGGGAUUAGAUACCCCUGUAGUCCCUGUCUCUUAUAU
rnacentral:rRNA from 1 species